rfam:Papilio xuthus contig17564, whole genome shotgun sequence.
UGUAGGGGGGAGAGAUUGACUCGACUUUUCCUAUCAGUCAGUCUUUUUCUCUCUCCUAUA